rnacentral:rRNA from 1 species
AGAGUUUGAUCAUGGCUCAGAUUGAACGCUGGCGGCAGGCCUAACACAUGCAAGUCGAGCGGUAGCACAGAGAGCUUGCUCUCGGGUGACGAGCGGCGGACGGGUGAGUAAUGUCUGGGAAACUGCCUGAUGGAGGGGGAUAACUACUGGAAACGGUAGCUAAUACCGCAUAACGUCGCAAGACCAAAGAGGGGGACCUUCGGGCCUCUUGCCAUCGGAUGUGCCCAGAUGGGAUUAGCUAGUAGGUGGGGUAACGGCUCACCUAGGCGACGAUCCCUAGCUGGUCUGAGAGGAUGACCAGCCACACUGGAACUGAGACACGGUCCAGACUCCUACGGGAGGCAGCAGUGGGGAAUAUUGCACAAUGGGCGCAAGCCUGAUGCAGCCAUGCCGCGUGUAUGAAGAAGGCCUUCGGGUUGUAAAGUACUUUCAGCGGGGAGGAAGGGAGUAAAGUUAAUACCUUUGCUCAUUGACGUUACCCGCAGAAGAAGCACCGGCUAACUCCGUGCCAGCAGCCGCGGUAAUACGGAGGGUGCAAGCGUUAAUCGGAAUUACUGGGCGUAAAGCGCACGCAGGCGGUCUGUCAAGUCGGAUGUGAAAUCCCCGGGCUCAACCUGGGAACUGCAUUCGAAACUGGCAGGCUAGAGUCUUGUAGAGGGGGGUAGAAUUCCAGGUGUAGCGGUGAAAUGCGUAGAGAUCUGGAGGAAUACCGGUGGCGAAGGCGGCCCCCUGGACAAAGACUGACGCUCAGGUGCGAAAGCGUGGGGAGCAAACAGGAUUAGAUACCCUGGUAGUCCACGCCGUAAACGAUGUCGACUUGGAGGUUGUGCCCUUGAGGCGUGGCUUCCGGAGCUAACGCGUUAAGUCGACCGCCUGGGGAGUACGGCCGCAAGGUUAAAACUCAAAUGAAUUGACGGGGGCCCGCACAAGCGGUGGAGCAUGUGGUUUAAUUCGAUGCAACGCGAAGAACCUUACCUGGUCUUGACAUCCACAGAACUUUCCAGAGAUGGAUUGGUGCCUUCGGGAACUGUGAGACAGGUGCUGCAUGGCUGUCGUCAGCUCGUGUUGUGAAAUGUUGGGUUAAGUCCCGCAACGAGCGCAACCCUUAUCCUUUGUUGCCAGCGGUCCGGCCGGGAACUCAAAGGAGACUGCCAGUGAUAAACUGGAGGAAGGUGGGGAUGACGUCAAGUCAUCAUGGCCCUUACGACCAGGGCUACACACGUGCUACAAUGGCAUAUACAAAGAGAAGCGACCUCGCGAGAGCAAGCGGACCUCAUAAAGUGCGUCGUAGUCCGGAUUGGAGUCUGCAACUCGACUCCAUGAAGUCGGAAUCGCUAGUAAUCGUGGAUCAGAAUGCCACGGUGAAUACGUUCCCGGGCCUUGUACACACCGCCCGUCACACCAUGGGAGUGGGUUGCAAAAGAAGUAGGUAGCUUAACCUUCGGGAGGGCGCUUACCACUUUGUGAUUCAUGACUGGGGUGAAGUCGUAACAAGGUAACCGUAGGGGAACCUGCGGUUG